CACGCCACCACCGCUCCCACCUGCCCUCCCCUCUCCUUAUCCUCUCUGGACCACGCCAUCUCUUCUCUCCUCCUUCUCCACGCCUCUCUCUCGUCUCCUUUUUCUUCUCCUGCAAGCCAAACGAGAGGAGGAGAAACUCCCUCAGUACCGCCUCCUCCUCGCCGUCAAUCCGCCGAUUCCGGCCACCCCGUGCCUCGCCGCAACCACCAAUCGACGCGCCUCAUCCUCCUCAUCAUCCUCCCCGAAGGAAUCGUCCCCGCGUGCCUCGUAUCUCCGCCGUUUUCGCCGUUCCCCUCUCAGGCCCGGCGGCCAAUUUCUUCGAUUCCGGCGCCGAUGGCCCUCCUCCGGCGAAACCAAGCAGGCCUGCGUGUUCCUGGACCUCACCGCCGCCGCUCUCCGAUGACCUCUAGCCGGCGGCGCCGCCUUCCCCAGGUCCGCUCCGAUGAGGCGAAGCCGAGGCGCCCACUCUCGCUUGCUGGGAGGCCCGAGAACGCCCGCGCGCUCGCCGCCGAACCCCGGUGACCACCGCUACCUGCGACGCGCGCGGCAUCCCUCCGUGCACGGAAGGUUUGCCAGCGUGGCGCUGACGUGGCUGCGGGGCCCGCCUGCCAGCCUCACGGCCUAGCUACCCGCCCGCAUUUGCUUCUUCCCGGAUAGGAUCACGAAGUGGUGAUGUGAGAUACGACGAGUUCUCCGGAUGUUCCUCGGCAAGCUUUAACAGGCAAGCAAUUCCCCUAUACUCAUGUCCCUGCAGGAGUCGCUUACCUAUUUU